ensembl:lncRNA LINC02882 long intergenic non-protein coding RNA 2882
AUCGCCUUCAAAGGAGCCUUGUACACAAUCUCUAGGUGAGGAAUGACUUUGUAAUCCGAGGCAUAAGAUCUCAAAUUAACAGCCCAUUAUUAUGGAAGUUCUUUAUUGAUCGCCAAAAUGGGUUAGGUAUACCUGUUAACAAGAACCUGAGACCUGCCGAACAGCAGGUGCCAAAGAUGCUGCUGUAACACCACAGCCCUCCCAUCUUCCAUCCUCCACUGGCGCUGAGUGGCAGUCCCAUGUGACAGGAAGUGGAGGCAGAGCUGGGCCAGCCCAGGAGCCACGUGCUGGAGCCAGAUACUCUGUUUUUCUACAAAUGGAAAGUUUGUGGCAUCCUUGACUCAAGCAAAUUUUUCAGCACCAUUUUUCAAGAGCGUGUGCUCACUUCACCUCUCUGUAUCGUGUUUUGAUGCUUGUCCUGGAAACCAACCAUGAGCUGUGAUGAAAUCCAGGCAACUGAGUUGUGUUUCAGCCCAAAGCAGCAAAUGGAAUCCAGCUUCAGGACCAUCAUCUGACAUAGGGGAAGAAGACUUACAUAGAAGGCCUAACCAGCACCCAAGAUCAUGGCUGGUGUCAGAGAAGGCUGAAUUGGGUACCAAGACAUUCCUUCUCUCCAGGUGGUAACAAGGACCCUCACAUGGUAUUAAUGAAGACCAAAUGUUUGAAUUUCUGCUUGACUUCUUCAAUUGUGAAAUCUGGAUCUAUGCAGAUUUGCUGCUUGUUGAACCUCUCAAAUACUGAAGGGAAGUUUCCUGGCGGUCUCUCGUCAUAUGCUGUUUACUAAAGGAAUAGUUUCCGAUCUGCUGUAAGAAGUACUAUGCUGUCCAUUUGUUCCAGGACCUUAUCCUCUGCAGGUUUAAUGCGCGUCCGUGUGAAGAGACCUGUCAAUAGUGGGGCCACUGCCAAACAAGAUUUACAGAGAUCCGUAGAGCAACUGAUGUUCUUGACUCUUAGGUGGAAGGGACUUGCCUUGUAUUAGAUGAGACUUUGGACUUGAAUUUCUAAGUAAAUUCUGGAAUGAGGUAAGACUUUGGGGGAUUGUUGGUGAAGGCAUGAUUGUGUUUUGAAAUGUGAGAAGAACAUGUGAUUUAGGAGGGGCCAGGGGAUGGAUGACAUGAUUUGGCUCUGUGUCCCCAUCAAAAUUUAACGUCAAAUUGUAAUCUUCAUGUGUUGAAGGAGGGGCCUGGUGGGAGGUGAUUGAAUCAUGGGGGCAAACUUCCCCCUUGCUGUUUUUGGGAUAGUGAGCGAGUACUCAUGAGAUCUGAUGGUUUAAAAGUGGCACUUUCCCUUGUGCUCUCUCUCUCCUGCCACCAUGUAAGAUGUACCUUGUUUCCCCUUCACCUUGUACCAUGAUUGUAAAUUUCUUGAAGCCUCCCAAGCCAUGUGGAACUAUGAGUCAAUUAAACCAUUUUUUUGUUUGUAAAUUACCUAGUCUCAGGUAGUAUCUUUAUAGCAGUGUGAAAAUGGGCUAAUACAACAGCCCAAUAUAGUUAUCUGUAUUAUCCCAUUUGAUCCUC